rnacentral:rRNA from 1 species
GACGAACGCUGGCGGCGUGCUUAACACAUGCAAGUCGAACGAUGAACCCGGAGCUUGCUCCGGUGGAUUAGUGGCGAACGGGUGAGUAACACGUGAGUAACCUGCCCUUGACUCUGGGAUAACUGCGGGAAACUGUAGCUAAUACCGGAUACGACCCUCGGCGGCAUCGCCAGGGGGUGGAAAGAAUUUCGGUCAAGGAUGGACUCGCGGCCUAUCAGCUAGUUGGUGAGGUAACGGCUCACCAAGGCGACGACGGGUAGCCGGCCUGAGAGGUUGACCGGACAAACUGUGAGUGAGACAGGGCCCAGACUCCGCCGGGAGGCAGGAGUGGGGAAGAUUGGACAAUGGGCGAAAGACUGAUCCAGCAACGCCGCGUGAGGGAUGACGGCCUUCGGGUUGUAAACCUCUUUCAGCGGGGACGAAGCGAGAGUGACGGUACCUGCAGAAGAAGGACCGGCCAACUACGUGCCAGCCGCCGCAGUAA